rnacentral:rRNA from 1 species
GCUUAUUCUUACGGUACCAUCCCYCUGAUACACSACCAGGGAUUUUUUCCCGUACMAAAGAAGUUUACMACCCGUAGGGCUGUCAUCCUUCACGCGGCAUGGCUGGGUCAGACUUGCGUCCMUUGSCCAAUAUUCCUUACYGCUGCCYCCCGUAGGAGUCUGGUCCGUGUCUCAGUACCAGUGUGGGGGAUAAUCCUYUCAGAACCCCUAGACAUCGUCGCCUUGGUGAGCCGUUACCUCACCAACUAGCUGAUGCCGCGCAUGCCCAUCUUUAACCGCCGGAGCUUUAAUUGCAAAAAGAUGUCUUCUCACAAUCUUAUAGAGUAUUAAUCCCGAUUUCUCGGGGCUAUUCUCCAGUUAAAGGUAGGUUGCAUACGUGUUACGCASCSGUKCGCCGGUCGCCGGCAUGUAUUGCUACACCCGCUGCCCCUCGACUUGCAUGUAUUAAGCCUGCCGCUAGCGUUCAUCCUGAGCCAUGAUCAAACUCUAAUCGAAUUCCCGCGGCCGCCAUGGCGGGCGGGAGCAUGCGACGUCWGGCCCAAUUCGCCCUAUAGUGAGUCGUAAUUACAAUUCACUGGCCSG